UACGUAGGGUGCAAGCGUUGUCCGGAAUUAUUGGGCGUAAAGAGCUCGUAGGCGGUUUGUCGCGUCUGCUGUGAAAACGCGAGGCUCAACCUCGCGCCUGCAGUGGGUACGGGCAGACUAGAGUGCGGUAGGGGAGAUCGGAAUUCCUGGUGUAGCGGUGAAAUGCGCAGAUAUCAGGAGGAACACCGGUGGCGAAGGCGGGUCUCUGGGCAGUAACUGACGCUGAGGAGCGAAAGCGUGGGGAGCGAACAGG
rnacentral:rRNA from 1 species